rnacentral:rRNA from 1 species
GACGAACGCUGGCGGCGUGCCAAAUACAUGCAAGUCGAGCGAAGUGGAGGAAGCUUGCUUCCAAAGCUUAGCGGCGAACGGGUGAGUAACACGUGGGCAACCUGCCUGACAGACUGGGAUAACUUGGGGAAACUCAAGCUAAUACCGGAUAGGAUCGCGAACCGCAUGGAACGCGAUGGAAAGUCUGAACGACACUGUCAGAUGGGCCCGCGGCGCAUUAGCUAGUUGGUGGGGUAAUGGCCUACCAAGGCGACGAUGCGUAGCCGACCUGAGAGGGUGACCGGCCACACUGGGACUGAGACACGGCCCAGACUCCUACGGGAGGCAGCAGUAGGGAAUCUUCCACAAUGGGCGAAAGCCUGAUGGAGCAACGCCGCGUGAGUGAUGAAGGUUUUCGGAUCGUAAAGCUCUGUUGUUAGGGAAGAACACCCGGGAGAGGAUCCCGGUUUGACGGUACCUAACGAGAAAGCCCCGGCUAACUACGUGCCAGCAGCCGCCGUAAUAC